rnacentral:lncRNA from 1 species
AACUUUUUCCCAGAUUCUGACGUUAAGGUAUCUGAAAAUAGGGAAUACCAGAUCUGUCCAGAUUUUGAAACAGAACAGAAACAUCCAGGUGUAAAUAUCAUAUCUCAGGUUCUACUUAUCCAAAUAAGUUCUAGCUUAUACCGUUGGAAAGCUUAGCAAAUCGUCUACAACUUUUGUAUAGAACACUUUUCCAAAUUCUAUAGUUAUAUAUGUCUAAACAGUAAGCAACCGAACUGGUCCAGAUUCUUAACAGCACAUCUGUAUCCUCUUGUGAUUUUUGUAACUUCCAAACCAUAAUAGCUAUGAGGGUGCUUCUUGCGGUCAGAGAAAUAUAUUGAAGUCUAAUUGUUCCCAGAAAAAAUUGGUAAACUUUGCACGAUCAAAACUUGAGAUACUCCCAAAUCAUUGCAGACUGCUCUAGAAAUCAGCAAGAGACAGAAACAGACUAUAACUAAACCCAACUACUUAUGUCAUUAAUCCUUAUAACUUAGGCCUAUGAACUAAAUGAAAUUGUGGAUAAAUCCCACAAGAUCAUUGCACUCAUUACAAAGAUCCAAAUCAAGCAUAAGCAUAAUGACAAACCAACUAAGCAUUAAAGGUUCACACGUCAAACAAGUCAACUUGCGAUACUAUCGUUCUCUUCAUAUUAAGGGUAAAGAUCCUGAGAUUCCCUUUCAUCUACGUAAGCAGGUGGUAAUAGAAGAUUCUAAAAGCAUACCAAAUCAAGGAGUGAAGAUGAGAACAAGUACUUUUAAAAUAAGCAUCAAGGUAAAGGUGAAUAGCAAUGGAAAGAUUAUAUUGUAGAGAAAAAUAUCAAGGUUUAUAGAACAAGGAUUUUAUAGCAAUUCUAAAACCUUAAGACAGCCAAUUUCUAACUACGCUUGCGUCCUACAGCCAGCAUUGCUCUGAUACCAAUUUGUAAUACUCGAUUUUAAGAACAAAACCAGAUAUGCACCAUAUGUGAGUCUUAGAAGUCAAAUCCCACAUAUAGCUACAAAUAAAUGGUAAUAUCAAAGACAAUGCAUAAAUAUAUAACAUACUUAAUAUAAAAGAUAUAAUCUUUGAUAGCAAACAGCGGAUGGACAACUCUAAACUUCGGGUAUUAACUCCUCUCCACAGGAUCCAACUGACUGGUUGAUCACAAGCCCAAAACUUCUCCUGAGGUGUGGGGGAAAUUGCAAGAGUGAGCACAUAUCGUACUCAACAAGUAUAACCAAGGGUUCAUGAGGGUCAAAUAGCUGACACUGGUUUGACUGCAUUUAGCUUUUAGUAGUGGAUAUCAUGUUCAUAAUUAUAUAACAAAUGUCAAGGUAGCAUAAAUAAUCCAUUAAUCACAUGAUCAAGUGUAAGCAUAAUUAAUUCAUAGCAUAAACGAUAAUCAAAUGGACAUAAAAACUUAACAAGCUCAUCGUCGUCGCAGCAAGAACCCCCAAGGCCGCUCAUAACCGUGAGCACGGCUAGUAUACUAGUUUUAACACUCUGCAGAGGUUGUACAUCUUUACCCAUGAGUCAUGAUUUACCCUUUCGCCCGAGGCCCGUCGACCUCUUAACCCACUACCAAGGAAGGUCGGCAGGGAUCACUAUGAAGCCUUUCAAAAGUUCGUCUAACAUGUUAGAGCCGCAAGGUUUCCUUUGCGAGCAGAUAUAGAUACCCCCUUCCGAAUGGCACAAUGACGCGCAGCCUAUACACAUAGGGACAGGGGCUCGCACUAUACCCGUGUCGGUUCAGCCCCUCCGCCCUUUCGGAUAACCUCUAACAAGCUAGAAAAGGUCUUCAUACUGAGCUAAAGCCAGAGCCAUUAUAGCCCUCAUGGUUGCACUGUUGUCCUGGUGAUCACUUACAGACAAGAUCUCAUAUAGUUAUUUGUCAUCUUUUAACGUUCAUUGCAUAGCUAUUAAUCAUCUUACAAGAUCAUGGAUUAUACCAAGCACUAGCACAUCUACACCAAAUGCAUAUCAAGUAGGUAGCAAGGAAUCCAGAUAACAAUCAUCUAUGAUUUUGCUAAGGUCGACGAGGUGAAAGCAUGCAUAUGAUAUAUAUGUAUUUAUAAGUAAAUAGGUAACAAGGAUGAUCCCAAGUUAUACUUGCCUUCAUCCAAUUGCUCUUGCUGAUCUUGCUAACUCUGCUGGUCUUACUAGUUGUCCAAGCUCUGAUCUUGAUCACCAAAAACUGCUCUCCGUCUAAACUCGAUUAUCGAUCACAAACAUAAGGCAACAAACAUACACGCAGCAAACAAGGCUACAAUUAGAACAGUACACCAAUCAUAUAAAAACAGUAUGAAAAGUUUAUAAAAAGACUCUACGCAUCGCUACGAUCACACGAACGUAAAGAUCAUGAAAAUCGAAAUUAAAACAGAGGAGUUAUGAAUUUUCUUAGAUUUUAUAUAGAAAAGUAAUUAAUUAAUUAAAGUCACGAAAUUAAAAAGUUUCAAACUGAGAAAACAAUGUUACUAACAUGUAGAGUUCAUUAAUACGAAUCCAACACAAUUUGAAUGGGUCAAAACGGAGUUAAGAUAAAUAUUUUAUGGCCAAAAGAAAGUCAGUGGCAAUUCUGUAAAUAGUGAAAAUGUAUUUUAAUCUAAAACCGAGCUGUUUGUAUUUUCCAAACUGAAAGACAAAGUGAUUGGGGCUGACGUUGGUGGACAGGGAUUAGGUUCACCGGCAGUGACGCUUUCUUGGAGCUACAGCAACGCCCGAGCAGACGACCGUUCGUAGAUGUCGUGUAUAGGCGAGACGAUGGCGAUCACGUUGUAGAGAAGAAAAUAUAAAUUUUAUUUUACUAUAUUUUCAUGAGCACAGAAAUACAAAAUAAAUUACUUUAGCUCUAUUUUCAAAGAAGCAAAAUUUAGGGUGUUACAAUUCUACCCCCUUAAGAUGAAUCUCGUCCUCGAGAUUCGAGAAGAUGGUGAUCAAAGAGAUAUGGAUACUCUAACUUUGGAUGUUGUUCACUUCCUCGAGUAGUUCCAUCCUCCUGUAGAGGCUUUGGCUUUACUUUGCAUCCUCAGUAAUUUUUCUCUAUGUGACUAUCUCAACUGAGCUCAAUUGAUUCUAAGAUUUUGAUAGGUACUCCAAAUGACUCUAUUCUACACUCACUUGGCCACUUUUCCUUUUUAGAUGCUACACAUCAUAUAGUCUUUUAAAUUUGCUUGUACUGAGUCUCUUAAUCCAAGACUGGUCUCAUCACUAAGUUCCAAUUAUCGGUACUUUUAUCACGGUUAAGUUGUUUCACUCUCAUACUGUACAUAUAACUUCGUAACCAUUGGUGUCAUCUGAUCCUCAUAACCAUAACUCUCAAUCCAUGAGUAUCAGCAAUGACAUAUAUCUCCAUUAAUAUUCUCUGAAUGGGAUGAUAUCUUGAAUCAAAACCAAUUUACCAAGAGCUUGUGAUCCUCUCAUAUGAUCCAACACUAGCCAAUCCGUCUCAUUGUAACUCCUUUAAUUGGGCUACCCCCCUUAAAAGGGUCAACUAGGGGACACAAGAAAGUUAGCUUGCAUAUUUUUCCAGACAAAUUAACUAACAUUGAGAACCUCUGACAUUCCAAAGAACUUAUGUGCAAUAGAGCAAACAAGUAUCCUGAAAUUUCCUCGCGAUAUGAAAAAUACCAGCGUAGUAAAAUGGACAUAACUCUUAUUCUGUGAAUCCAAUAGAGUUGUAGCUUAUACCGUUAGAAAACUUAUGAAAUUCCCAGCAACUUUCCUGUAGAAGACCUCCUUAGGUUCUGUCUUUAAGGUCAGGUAAAACAACCAAACUUAAUAUCCAUCCUGAAAAUGUCUCAGCAAAGGUGCAGCAGAUUCCAGAAGUUAUAUCCCAAGCUACUUAACUCAUCUGGAGAUGAUCCUUAUAGAUUUGAAAAGCUUAGAAAAUCCUCUACAACUUUUGUAUACAACUUUUUCCCAGAUUCUGACGUUAAAGUAUCUGAAAAUAGGGAAUACCAGAUCUCUCCAGAUUUUGAAACAGAACAGAAACAUCCAGGUGUAAAUAUCAUAUCUCAGGUUCUACUUAUCCAAAUAAGUUUCAGCUUAUACCGUUGGAAAGCUUAGCAAAUCGUCUACAACUUUUCUAUAGAACACUUUUCCAAAUUCUAUAGUUAUAUAUGUCUAAACAGUAAGCAACCGAA